UACAGAGGAUGCAAGCGUUAUCCGGAAUUAUUGGGCGUAAAGCGCACGUAGGCGGCCGAAUAAGUCGGGUGUGAAAGCCCUGGGCUCAACCCAGGAAGUGCACUCGAAACUGCUCGGCUUGAGUAUGGAAGAGGGUUGCGGAAUUCCCGGUGUUGAGGUGAAAUUCGUAGAUAUCGGGAGGAACACCAGUGGCGAAGGCGGCAACCUGGGCCAAUACUGACGCUGAGGUGCGAAAGCGUGGGGAGCAAACAGG
rnacentral:rRNA from 1 species